UUCUCAAAGUCUUCUUAUCUUUCAAAGACGCCCCUUGCAGGUAAAUCUGACUUUGGAGGAAACACUUAAUAUCAAAAUACUACGGCUUCUCAUCUUUGACCUAUUCAACAGCGAACACAUGAGCUGGCCUAUCAAGACGCAUCAUAGUCAAAUUGGGAACUUCGUUCCAAUAGUUUACUAUAAUCAUUGAUGCCAAUGUUGCAAGA
rnacentral:lncRNA from 1 species